rnacentral:rRNA from 1 species
GAGUAAUAUAUAGUUAAUGUGCCUCGAAGACCGGGAUAGCCAUUGGAAACGAUGAUUAAUACUGGAUAUACCUAUCUAACCUAAGUUAGAUAGGGAAAUGUUUUUUCGCUUCGAGAUCAGACUAUAUCCCAUCAGUUAGUUGGUAGGGUAAGAGCUCACCAAGGCAAUGACGGGUAGCGGGUUUGAGAGGAUGAUCCGCCACACUGGUACUGAGACACGGACCAG